rnacentral:rRNA from 1 species
UGUGCCAGCAGCCGCGGUAAUUCCAGCUCCAAUAGCGUAUAUUAAAGUUGUUGCGGUUAAAAAGCUCGUAGUUGGAUCUCACUAGGUAGGGGGCGGUUCGUUUCUAACGGCACUGCCCCAUUUACCUAUGUUUUUGACGGAGGUCCCAAGGUGGCUUUAACCGGCUGUCUUGGUACGCCGUCAGGUUUACUUUGAAAAAAUUAGAGUGCUCAAAGCAGGCUACAAGGCUUGAAUAUUUGUGCAUGGAAUAAUGGAAUAGGAGGUCGUUUCUAUUUUUUGGUUUUCGGAAAUUGACUUAAUGAUUAAUAGGGACAGCCGGGGGCAUUAGUACUCAGACGACAGAGGUGAAAUUCUUGGACCGUUUGAGGACUAACUACUGCGAAAGCAUUUGCCAAGAGUGUUUUCAUUAAUCAAGAACGAAAGUUAGAGGUUCGAAGGCGAUCAGAUACCGCCCUAGUUCUAACCAUAAACGAUGCUGACUAGCGAUCCGUAGCUGUUUUCUAUGUAGGCUCUACGGGAAGCUUCCGGGAAACCAAAGUUUUUGAGUUCCGGGGGAAGUAUGGUUGCAAAGCUGAAACUUAAAGGAAUUGACGGAAGGGCACCACCAGGAGUGGAGCCUGCGGCUUAAUUUGACUCAACACGGGAAAUCUCACCAGGCCCGGACACUGGAAGGAUUGACAGAUUGAGAGCUCUUUCUCGAUUCAGUGGGUGGUGGUGCAUGGCCGUUCUUAGUUGGUGGAGUGAUUUGUCUGGUUAAUUCCGAUAACGAACGAGACUCUGUCCUGCUAAAUAGGUUUGCCGUCUCUUUUGCGGUAAACAUUCUUCUUAGAGGGACUGGCGGCGUCUAGCCGCACGAGAUUGAGCAAUAACAGGUCUGUGAUGCCC